UACGUAGGGUGCAAGCGUUAAUCGGAAUUACUGGGCGUAAAGCGUGCGCAGGCGGCUUUGCAAGACAGAUGUGAAAUCCCCAGGCUUAACCUGGGAACUGCGUGUGAUACUGGAUGGCUUGAAUCCGGGAGAGGGAUGCAGAAUUCCAGGUGUAGCGGUGAAAUGCGUAGAUAUCUGGAGGAAUACCGGUGGCGAAGGCGGCAUCCUGGACCGGCAUUGACGCUGAGGAGCGAAAGCCAGGGGAGCAAACGGG
rnacentral:rRNA from 1 species